GACGAACGCUGGCGGCGUGCUUAACACAUGCAAGUCGAACGGAAAGGCCCUGCUUGCCGGGUACUCGAGUGGCGAACGGGUGAGUAACACGUGGGUGAUCUGCCCUGCACUUCGGGAUAAGCCUGGGAAACUGGGUCUAAUACCGGAUAGGAGCCAUUUUUAGUGUGAUGGUUGGAAAGUUUUUUCGGUGUAGGAUGAGCUCGCGGCCUAUCAGCUUGUUGGUGGGGUAAUGGCCUACCAAGGCGGCGACGGGUAGCCGGCCUGAGAGGGUGGACGGCCACAAUGGGACUUAGAGACGGCCCAGACUCCUACGGGAGGCAGCAGGUGGGAAGAUUUCACAAAUGGCGCAAGCCGUAUGCAGCGACGCCGCGGUGGGGAAUACGGCCUUCGGGUUGUAAACGCCUUUCGCUAGGGACGAAGCUUUUUGUGACGGUACCUAGAUAAGAAGCACCGGCUAACUACGUG
rnacentral:rRNA from 1 species